CUUGCAAGCCGGCUUAUCGCUCCGUUUCAAUGAAAUGGGGAGGAAAGUCCGGGCAACAUCGGGCAGCGUGCCGCUUGAAUAACGCGGGCAAUCUUCCGGUAACGGCUGAUUGACAGAAAGUACCACAGAAAACAAGUAGCCCGGGCUGAUGCAUUCAGCAUGGGUGAUAGUGAAAAGGCGGAGUAAGAGACCACCGGCCGGCCAGUAAUGAAAGGCGCAUGGCAAACCUCACGCGUUGAAAGGUCAAAUAGGCCCCGAUAAAAUGAACGGCCCGUUCUUACCUGUUAAGCCAGGUAUUGGGGUGGGUAGACCGAUUGAUCCUGACGGCAGCGUCCGGACCAGAUAAAUGAUAAGCCAGUAGCGGCAACGCUACGGACAGAACCCGGCUUACAGGCUUGCAUCUUUU
rnacentral:RNase_P_RNA from 1 species